ensembl:lncRNA
GGGGAAGGACACUCCCUGUGAAGGGUAGGAGGUACGAAGGUGAGUGGAGAGAGCGCGGAGGGAGGGUUGAGUCUGAUGUUGAGAGUAGAGUCCAACUGGAGAGAUUUUCACCGUGCUGAAGGGUUGAAGGAACAGCUGAUGAACAAUGCGUCUCCACCUCGAUCCAGCCAUCGUGAACAUGUCCCCUCAUUUGCUUUCUCCUGACGGGUAGAUAGCAACAGGUAGAUUUCCUUUUUCUGAACCGUUUGACAGUGUGUUGCAGACACGACGACGCUUUGUCCCUGAGUCCCUCAGCUGCAUCUCCCGAAUAAGGACGUUUUCCUCCUGAACCACAAGACCAGUAUCACACUGGAAAGUCAGCAGGAACGGCAUCUGCUGUCUGGUCUGCGUUCGGAUUCCCGCGGUUAUUCCCAGGCUGUCUUUUAUGGUUGGGUUUUGUUUGUUUUGAAAGCGAGGGACCAUCAAGUUUCCAGCGUUGCAUUUGGUUUCGUCUCUCUGGUCUCCAAGAAAGAUUCUGGAGGUGGAAUGCACAGCGCUCGGUAUCAGGGGAGGUGACGAGAAGGGACGUCCUUUUUCCCUCUUAUUGGAGAGGACCUGAACGGCGGUAAGGACCAGGCUUAUCUGCCCCCAGCAUCCUGCCCGUCCUGUUCCUCGUGGGCCCUCGAGAGAUCGCCGUGGGUGAAUAGAUGAAGCCGGGCGUGGGCCAUCCGGACCCUGCUUGGCCCGGCUCCCAGGAGCCUGCAGGGCGGGCUGGGUCGCAGUCAGGCAUCCAGCUGGGCCCGGAGGAAGGAAUUACUCCAAGUGGUGUCCUUGGGACCUUUCCUGCGGCACUAAGAGCAUCGGGCAAACCCUGUCGCUGACGCUGGCCUUGCCACCUUGUUGGGCAGCCGGGCAUCAAUCGCUCCACAAAUGGUGACUGAUCACCUGCUCUGAGCUAGAGAUCAAGACAGACAGACAGAGGGACAGACUGCUGCCCUGGCCCUGCCCCCAGCCAAGGGUGAUGAUCCUGCUCCCUGGCCCCAGAGCAGAUUCUCCCGGGCCCUCCCCGAGGGCCCCUCCCCCAUACCUGCUGUAACCUGCUCUGGGCUCUGGCGUGGGAAAGGGCCAGCAGCGCCAAGGGCCCUCCGCAGCUUCCACACUGUGGAAACUCAUGGGGGGCCCCCGCCAAGAGAUGCACGUUCUCAUUCCGCCUAAUAUAGAAAGGCCAAACCAGCAAGCACGGUGACCCGUCAUAAGCAGCCGGCCCCCCCCCGCCAGCGCACAUCUGCAGAACCCGGGACCAGGAGCCCCGCCUGCUUCUCCUGGAGGACCAGUUCUUGGAAGCCCCUCGCGGCGGCACCUCCUGCUCAACCGUGUGUGUCGUCUGUGUUCCAGUCACAGUGGCCUCCGGAUGAGGGGUCAGCUUGUUUCGACAUGACACGGGCCCUCACUUCUCCCAGGAGUUCAGAAAACGCCUUUUUACAGCCCUGCUUCUCCGAGCUGCUCCUCGCGCGCUGCCCCGGGCCUUCCUCCGCCUGCACAGACCCUGCUGCGCCCGGCCUGGCUCGAGGGAAGAGUUCCUCAGAGCUAAAUAUUUCAACCCAAAUUGGAAAAAAAAAAAAAAUCCCCACCCCCCCAUUGCCCAAGAAACAGGGCUCAUUUCCCCUUCUGUGUUCUUUCUGAGUCACAGGCAGCGGGUUCCGAGAACGACGGGCUGGAGGGGACAGCGACAGUGUUCUCCAUCGGUCCUGGCCAAGCUGUGAGCCGCCGUUUCGUCGUCUCGCGGCCAGGAAGAGUGUGGCAGGAGUGAGCGUCCGAGCGCCAGGCAUCAGUGGAAGCCAGGAGCGAAUGAGGACGGUGGGAGCGGGGCCUAGGGCAUUGAUGUGGGAUGGCCAGAGCAGGCUGUCAAGGCUCUGUUCAUGGGAAAUAAGUCUGUCUCUCUUGUACGUGGAGACAUUUUUCUUUGUGCUUUGGAUCCGACCAAUUUGUCUUAAACUCACCUGCUACACAAAGAAGCGGCCGAUAAUAAGCAUCAGAUGUGAGAAAAUCUAUAAAGCACAAGGAAAUCACGGAUUCCUCCCUGAACACGUUUCUGAACACACCAUGAGAGCAAGACGAGAGGCAGGAUAAAGAAAUCUGCAGCCAGGCACACAGAAACGCAAACUGUCACUGACAACUUACAGCUCCACCGAGGCCUAUAAAGAAAGGACUCCAGAUCUUCUUUUAGGCAUGACAGUGAAAAAUAUAAUUUGAAAAAUG